CAUUGGUUUGAGAUUGAUCUCCGUUAGUGUUAUCCUUCCAUGUUGUUGGCCUCCUCUCUUCUAUGUGGUAGUGGUGUGGGUUGUAGCAAUCCCUCGUGGUCUCGACAAUUCAAGGCAUGUGGGGCAGUCCCGGAUUUGAUGUUGGGUGUUAAGAUAAUAUCGGCAUCGGAUAGUUUGAGGAAUCCGGGUCGGCCAAGUCGGUCACAGCUAGCCGGGUUUCACACAUUCAUCUAAGAAUUCAUCUCACAUUUAUUCACGAAGACUUCUUGUGCCAGUUCGGAGGCGAGUGAAGGCAGGGGGUUGCAAUUUGCAGCCCCUUUCUGCACUUCAGCUCACGCUUCACCCUGUUUGCAUCCCCAGCGAGCAGCCAUGAAGGUCAUCUUGGUCGGGGAUUCCAUGGACCUACUCGAGGGGUUCAAGGUCAAAAUCAAGGCCAGACGGUUGCGCGUCAGUGGCCCCCGCCGCAUGCUCACUCGCAACCUCAAGCACCUCAACAACACAAGAAUUGAGAUUAGGAAUUUCUUAGAGGAGAAGAAGUGCGUAGGGUGAAGCUGCUUCGAGGCGUGACAGGAUAAAAGAUGAAGUGUUGCUGGAAUGCAACAACAUUGAGUUACUGCCUCAAUCAUGCGCUUUGAUCAACCAGGAGAAGUGGUGUGGUUUGUGUGCAGCAGUGUCACAACUUUUGAGCUGAACUGGGUUCAGGGUUCAUGUCUGAGGAUUGUUUUGGAAGUGGCGAUGGAUGUCUGUAUAACGAGAUUGUGCAUGGUUUCAAUAGAAGGUGGGUGGUUUGUUUCGUUGGUGGGCGGUUUGGUGCAGAAAUACGACGUUAAGCAGAAGGACAUCAGGAAGUUUUUGGAUGGGCACAAUGGAUACUUGUGAUUUUUAGCUCUUCGUGUUUCAAUUCUGACAGCAUUGUAAAUAUGUUUCCUUUUUGCGGGAGAUUGAUACGAAACUUGGUUUGUUUAGUAUGAAAGUAUUUUGGAAUUGUUGGCUUUCUAGUUGACGAGACAGCCAUGACUUUUGAUGAAGUCAAGAAAAUUGAUUUAGUCCAACUUGAUAGAAUUUUGGUAAGUCUAGUGGAAAGACACUUGUAACAAAACUAGGAAACAACUUGAUAACAAAGUUAUAUUGUUUUAUGAUAAAAUAUAGAUUGGAAGUGAGAAUUUUGAAUGUUUAUUAGUUGGAAUCCAAGAAUUCUAAAAUAUGGUGUAAUAGUUCACAAUAAUUUUGAAACACAUUGGAAUAUAGAAACGUAUUGUGGUUUUA